rnacentral:rRNA from 1 species
GACGAACGCUGGCGGCGCGCCUAACACAUGCAAGUCGAACGGAGAAAGAAACAGCUUGCUGGAUCUUUCUUAGUGGCGGACGGGUGAGUAACACGUGAGCAACCUGCCUCUUGGAGUGGAAUAACGUUUGGAAACGAACGCUAAUACCGCAUAACACCUCUGAAUGGCAUCAUUUGGAGGUCAAAGAUUUAUCGCCAAGAGAUGGGCUCGCGUCCGAUUAGGUAGUUGGUGAGAUAACAGCCCACCAAGCCGACGAUCGGUAGCCGGACUGAGAGGUUGAACGGCCACAUUGGGACUGAGACACGGCCCAG